rnacentral:rRNA from 1 species
UACGGGAAGCAGCAGUGAGGAAUUUUUCACAAUGGACGAAAGUCUGAUGGAGCAAUACCACGUGAACGAUGAAGGUCUUCUGAUUGUAAAGUUCUUUUAUUUAGGAAAAAAAGCGCGCUAGGAAAUGAGCGCGCCUUGAUGGUACUAAUUGAAUAAGUGACAGCUAACUAUGUGCCAGCAGCUGCGGUAAAACAUAGGUCACGAGCAUUAUCCGGAUUUAUUGGGCGUAAAGGAAGCGUAGGUGGGGAGGUUGAUCCAUUGUUAAAGGCAUUUGCUUAACAAAUGUGUGCGAUGGAGAUCGCCUCCCUAGAGUUAAUCAGGGGGUACUGGAAUUCAAUGUGUAGCGGUGGAAUGCGUAGAUAUAUUGAGGAACACCAGAGGCUAAGGCGAGUGCCUAGGAUAUAACUGACACUGAGGCUUGAAAGCGUGGGGAGCAAAUGGGAUUAGAUACCCCAGUAGUCCACGCCGUAAACGAUGGGCAUUAGGUAUUUGACAUCUAGUCGAGUGCUGUAGCUAACGCGUUAAAUGCCCCGCCUGGGUAGUAUAUAUGCAAAUAUGAA